GACGAACGCUGGCGGCGUGCUUAACACAUGCAAGUCGAGCGGAGCGGCGAAGGGGUGAGGAACGCGGGAGUAACUGCCCCCCUCUCUGGGAUAACAGUUGGAAACGGCUGCUAAUACAGGAUAGUGGGGGAUGAUUCGGGUCCUAUCAGCUUGUUGGUGGGGUAGUGGCCUACCAAGGCGACGACGGGUAGCCGGCCUGAGAGGGGGACCGGCCACAUUGGGCUUAGGUACGGCCCAGACUCCUACGGGAGGCAGCAGUGGGGGAUAGUGCACAAUGGGCGAAAGCCUGAUGCAGCGACGCCGCGUGGGGGAUGAAGGCUUUCGGGUUGUAAACCUCUUUCGCUAUCGAAAGGGUAGGUGGAGAAGAAGCGCCGGCUAACUACGUGCCAGCCGCCGCGGUAAUAC
rnacentral:rRNA from 1 species